GACGAACGCUGGCGGCGUGCCUAAUACAUGCAAGUCGAACGCAGUGGGGACGGGUGAGUAACACCUGGGUAACCUCCCAUCAGAGGGGAUACCCCUUGGAAACAGGUGCUAAACCGAUACUGAUGGAUGUCCCCGCGGUGCAUUAGCUAGUUGGUGGGGUAACGGCCCACCAAGGCCACGAUGCAUAGCCGACCUGAGAGGGUGAUCGGCCACACUGGGACUGAGACACGGCCCAGACUCCUACGGGAGGCAGCAGUAGGGAAUCUUCGGCAAUGGACGAAAGUCUGACCGAGCAACGCCGCGUGAGUGAAGAAGGUUUUCGGAUCGUAAAACUCUGUUGUUAGAGAAGCGGUAUCUAACCAGAAAGCCACGGCUAACUACGUGCCAGCAGCCGCGGUAAUAC
rnacentral:rRNA from 1 species